GCCAGGCGUGGUGGUGCACACCUGUAAUCCCAGCUACUCAGGAGGCUAAGGCAGGAGAAUUGCUUGAACCCAGGAGGCAGAGGUUGCAGUGAGCUGAGAUCGCACCACUGCACUCCAGCCUGGGUGACAGAGCAAGACUCUGCCUCAA
rnacentral:SRP_RNA from 1 species